rnacentral:tRNA from 1 species
GGGCCGGUGGCCUAGCCUGGUAGGGCACUCGGCUGAUAACCGAGAGGUCGCGGGUUCGAAGCCCGUCCGGCCCACCA